UACGUAGGUGGCAAGCGUUAUCCGGAAUUAUUGGGCGUAAAGCGCGCGCAGGUGGUUUCUUAAGUCUGAUGUGAAAGCCCACGGCUCAACCGUGGAGGGUCAUUGGAAACUGGGAGACUUGAGUGCAGAAGAGGAAAGUGGAAUUCCAUGUGUAGCGGUGAAAUGUGUAGAGAUAUGGAGGAACACCAGUGGCGAAGGCGACUUUCUGGUCUGUAACUGACACUGAGGCGCGAAAGCGUGGGGAGCAAACAGG
rnacentral:rRNA from 1 species